UUAGUGCGAACGGUCGUGAUUGGAUGAUAUCUUCUUCCUCGUCGGAAGCGUGACAAAAUUUCAACGAGCAACGUUUUUUUAACGUACGAAAGUAGGACACGGUCGUGGGUCCGAAAAAUCCGUACGGCCGUUCGCAUAACGAAAUUUCAUUUCGUAGGAGUGUACGUAUGUACGUAAUCGAUGUUAAGGUUAGAAUUUCGUUGGAUUUAUAUUUAGAAAUUUGGAUAGCGAAUAAUUCAGAUUGAAAUAACAACGACGUCGAGUAUAAUACGCGAAGUGCGCGUUAAUGGAUAACCUGUAACACACAUGCAUCUUUAAAAGAAAUUGCCUUCUCAAUCAUUUGAACUUCUUUUCUUAUUUUCCGCGUGAGUAGCUUCUCGUAUAUAACAAUAGGAGGUUGUGUUAUCGCGUAAGAAAGUAAAGUAACAAGUACUAAGGGUGGAAUAGAGGGGUUGAAAGAUGCAUCGGAGCGUGACCGCGUAUGUCGACCCCUCUUCCUCAAGAAAAAGGGGACAUAGAACGAAAUCUACGACGUCGUAAAUCGUUAUAUCGAUUGAGAGAAAAUGAUAAAAGUCUUUAAGAGUGCAAGAUGGUUUAAACAAAAAAAAAAGAAAAAAAAAGAAACUCCGACUAAAAGAACUAUUCGUUUAUUUAUUUAUUUUUCUCUCGAUAAUAAUGAUAUCGAAAGUAAAAAAGAAGAAGGAGAAGAAACAUUAUCGACAACAGCAGCAAUAAUGCAGCAACAACAAAGUAGUAGUAACAAGAGCAAAAGAAACUUAAAAACACUAGUAAUAGUAGAAUAGUUCCAACAAGAGUAAGAAGAAGAAGAGUAAAGAAGAACGUAAGAGUACGAUAUAACGACGUAAGAGUACUAAAUAUAUAAACGAAUGUAUAAGUACGUGGAAUAGAUCGGAUCGUUUAUUUUCAUCUAUUUCAUUUUUCUUCUCUGUUUUUUUCGUCCGGCUUUUUUUGAAGAUAAAAUCGUACAACAACAACGACGAGGAUGAUCGUCGGUACAUGUAUACAAAUCUGCAAGCUGUACAAUGGCACGUCGUUAGUAAAUGUUUCAAUAUAUGUUUCUUUGGAAUACAAUCUUCAAAAGAUAAAAAGAAAACCCACUCUUCGUAGAAGUAUAUAUGUAUAUAUAUAUAUAUAUAUAUAUAUAUAUAUCGAUAUAUUUAUAUAUACACACAAGUAGAUAUAUAUAUAUAUCGAUAAUUAGGCUUAAUAACAUCCAAUAAUUGCAAAUAUGAAGAAAAAACCCUAUUGAUAAAACUAUGUACACUAUACAAGAUUUUAAUUCUGUCAAAUAAAUAUUAUUAUUGUUAU